rnacentral:rRNA from 1 species
GAUGAACGCUAGCGACAGGCUUAACACAUGCAAGUCGAGGGGCAGCAUAGAAGUAGCAAUACUUUGGUGGCGACCGGCGCACGGGUGAGUAACGCGUAUGCAACCUACCUAUCAGAGGGGGAUAACCCGGCGAAAGUCGGACUAAUACCGCAUAAAACAGGGGCACCGCAUGGUGAUAUUUGUUAAAGAUUAAUUGCUGAUAGAUGGGCAUGCGUCCCAUUAGCUAGAUGGUGAGGUAACGGCUCACCAUGGCGACGAUGGGUAGGGGGCCUGAGAGGGUGGUCCCCCACACUGGUACUGAGACACGGACCAGACUCCUACGGGAGGCAGCAGUGAGGAAUAUUGGUCAAUGGGCGAGAGCCUGAACCAGCCAUGCCGCGUGCAGGAAGACGGUCCUAUGGAUUGUAAACUGCUUUUAUUUGGGAAUAAACUCCGAUACGUGUAUCGGCCUGAAGGUACCAAAUGAAUAAGCACCGGCUAACUCCGUGCCAGCAGCCGCCGUAAUAC